CGAAACACUGGAGAGAGUCAUUCAAUUGACCACCGAAGGAGCAAACCUCAUAUGAGGUGAAACUCUCAGGUCAAAGGACAGUGAUAU
rnacentral:ncRNA from 1 species